CUAUCAGCACCAUAGAAAAGGAGAGGGGAGAGGAGGAGUCAAGGUAGGAGGGAUGGGAGGUCACAGAGUGCUGUUCCUGCAGCGUCUGUCUUGAAGGGGUGAUUUCACGGUCUGUACGGGAAUGCAGGAGAGAAAUGCUGGAGGAUUCGUUUACACUUGUUAGAGACAGCCAGUUUUACAGCUAAAGCAAAUCUUUAGCCAAAUGUUAACAACUCAGCUAUUCUGGGGAUGGGGGUAAGGCAGGAAACUGGCACCCAAUCUUCCCUUUUGCCAGCAUUUGGGGAAAAUAAAGGAUUAGGUAAAACUGUUCUCGUUCCUCUCAUUCUCCACUGUGAGCAGAGGUUCGAAGAACCGUUGAAACUGGGAACAAGUAAACCCAGAAGGUGUUUGUUCACACUGCCGUGUUUCCACUACAGGUGAACCUUCCUGCUAGAAAAGACACUGUUUUCAUCUCAUUCUUUCUUAGUUGGAGCCCUCAUCUGCUGCCUGCCGUUCUACUAAAGAAUGGCUGUGGUGGAUAUGAUUUGAAGUUUGAGCAUGGUAGGGUGUCUCUGUGUCCAAAGGUUCCACGGAGAGGAGGUUACAGCCUAGCGCACAUAAAUACUAAUCACAAGCUGGGAGUGGGGGGUGUAUGUACCCAAGAGGCAGGCGUAGGUGGAUCUCUGUGAGUUUGAGGCCAGUUGGGUCAAUAUAGUGAGUUCAAGGCCAG
rnacentral:lncRNA from 1 species